CUCUAANNNUUUACAAAAAACAUUGGUCUUGUAAACCAAAGAACGAAGAUUACCCCCUUCUUAGAGUU
rnacentral:tRNA from 1 species